UGGGUAACCUGCCCUUAACUCUGGGAUAAGCCUGGGAAACUGGGUCUAAUACCGGAUACGACCUUCCCUCGCAUGGGGGUUGGUGGAAAGUUCUUCGGCUGAGGAUGGGCCCGCGGCCUAUCAGCUAGUUGGUGAGGUAACGGCUCACCAAGGCUUCGACGGGUAGCCGGCCUGAGAGGGCGACCGGCCACACUGGGACUGAGAUACGGCCCAGACUCCUACGGGAGGCAG
rnacentral:rRNA from 1 species